GGCCUCAUAGCUCAGCUGGGAGAGCAGCAGACUGAAGUAAAAUUCGGAAUCUGAAGGUCCUGCGUUCGAUCCGCAGUAAGGCCA